rnacentral:rRNA from 1 species
CAGCCGCCACGGUAAUACGUAGGUGGCAAGCGUUGUCCGGAAUUAUUGGGCGUAAAGGGCUCGCAGGCGGUUUCUUAAGUCUGAUGUGAAAGCCCCCGGCUCAACCGGGGAGGGUCAUUGGAAACUGGGAAACUUGAGUGCAGAAGAGGAGAGUGGAAUUCCACGUGUAGCGGUGAAAUGCGUAGAGAUGUGGAGGAACACCAGUGGCGAAGGCGACUCUCUGGUCUGUAACUGACGCUGAGGAGCGAAAGCGUGGGGAGCGAACAGGAUUAGAUACCCCCGUAGUCCCUGUCUCUUAUAC